rnacentral:rRNA from 1 species
AUUGAACGCUGGCGGCAUGCCUUACACAUGCAAGUCGAACGGUAACAGGUCUUCGGAUGCUGACGAGUGGCGAGCGGGUGAGUAAUACAUCGGAACGUGCCUAGUAGUGGGGGAUAACUACUCGAAAGAGUGGCUAAUACCGCCUGAGAUCUACGGAUGAAAGCAGGGGAUCGCAAGACCUUGUGCUACUAGAGCGGCCGAUGGCAGAUUAGGUAGUUGGUGGGAUAAAAGCUUACCAAGGCGACGAUCUGUAGCUGGUCUGAGAGGACGAUCAGCCACACUGGGACUGAGACACGGCCCAGACUCCUACGGGAGGCAGCAGUGGGGAAUUUUGGACAAUGGGCGAAAGCCUGAUCCAGCAAUGCCGCGUGCAGGAUGAAGGCCUUCGGGUUGUAAACUGCUUUUGUACGGAACGAAAAGCCCUGGGUUAAUACCCUGGGGUCAUGACGGUACCGUAAGAAUAAGCACCGGCUAACUACGUGCCAGCCGCCGCAGUAA